CCGUCUCGGACGGGUUCGAAUGUACCUUGAAAGUAAGCUCCGGCUAACUACGUGCCAGCAGCCGCGGUAAUACGUAGGGAGCAAGCGUUGUCCGGAUUCACUGGGUGUAAAGGGUGCGCAGGGGGAUUCCUAAGUCAGGGGUGAAAUCUCACAGCUUAACUGUGAAACUGCCCUUGAUACUGCAGAUCUUGAGUUCGGUAGAGGUUGAUGGAAUUCCAGGUGUAUGGGUGAAAUGCAUAUAUAUCUGGAAGAACACCAGUGGGGAAGGCGGGCAACUGGGCCGUAACUGACGCUCAGGCACCAAAGCGUGAUUAGCGAACAGGAUUAGAUACCCUGGUAGUCCACGCCCUAAACGAUAAAUACUUGAUGUUGGUCCGUAUGGAUCAGUGUCGGAGGUAACCUGGUAAGUAUUCCACCUGGGGAGUACGCUCGCAAGG
rnacentral:rRNA from 1 species